CUCUUGACUAAUUACAUAUAUCCAACGUGGAGAAUCAAACGUUUCAAUAUGAAAGCAUGAUAAGUUCGUAAAAAAAAUUAAGCAGUUGCAUUCAUGUCAGGUGCCUCAACAACUUUUUACAGAAGAAAUCGCCAAUGAAAUGCUACAAAACCUCAAAGCAGGAGACUAUGCUUGAAACCAUCUCUUAAGUGGUUUAUUCGCUUGCUUUUCACCUUCAGGUUUCUCAGAACUCUGCUUUGAGAACUUGGAUUUGUAUUGUUCUAUAAGCAUGUCAAGUUUGUCUACUAUGUCCUGCCCUAAGAAAUCUUUUUUUCUUUUUGGGCCUUUUCUUUGAACUUCUUUCUCCCUCUUCUUGUGCUGCCUGGUUUGACACUUCCUCUUUUUGAGCUUCAAACCUGUUUCCUUGGGAAGUUUGCAUUCACUGGUAUUUAUUGUUGCCAUUUGACCUUUGACUGAGCUUCAAAAAUCAGGCUUCCUGAUUCGGUGAGCAUUUCGCUCCUGGAUAGAGCCUUUCAUCUCCUAUUUUGUGCCAGUGAAUUUAUCUUGUGCAGCAGUCUUUGUUUUUCCACUUCCUACAUUUGCUCUUAUGCUUCUCACUUCUUCGUUUUCUGGUGGAAGCUCCCUCAGAAACCAUAACUU
rnacentral:misc_RNA from 1 species